rnacentral:sRNA from 4 species
GUAUCUGAAGUCUGACGAGGAUGAGAACCUCCGGGGGCAAGAGGUCCGACUCGAGCGAAGCGAGAGAACGUUGCGUCAGCAACGGCCCGCAGUGGCAAGUCAUCCUCUGUCACCGGCAG